rnacentral:misc_RNA from 1 species
AAAUAUAUCUGAAGACUUCGAAUUAUUUUGCCGUGCUUUUAAAUGGUAAUAGGUUGGACAUGUUGUGCAGUACGGAUCGUUGCACAUGCCCAGUUGUCCAGACUUAAAGAGAUGUUCAUUUUUCCCAGUGUAGUCAUUAUUACGCCAACCAUUUCGUUCUGCACUGCUAAUUGAAGGAUAUCUUUCUGUUGGAGGCAGAGUUGAUUUAUGCACUACUGCAGCGGGAGUGGGCCGAAAGCUAUUCUCAGGCUCG